rnacentral:lncRNA from 1 species
UCUCUUGCUGCCUUUUUUUUUUUAUCAUUUAGCCUUUGCCCUCUUCGAACUUUCUUCUUGUGCGUAUUUAUAGCUAAAAUUCAGAUGUAAAAGUCUGGAUUUAAACACAAGAAAAGAGUUCCAACGGACGAAACUCCAUAUGAGUGAAAUAUCCAUUUGAAAUCAAAGCUAACAACUUUUAAACUUCUUUUUUUGAUGAUUUUCAGAACCCUCACACGAAUUUAAAAUUAAUUUUGAGUUAUUGCAUCAAAUUAGGACCUACUUUCUUUCUGAUUUCACCGAUUCAUAGGUUUGGAUGAUGAAUUUGGGGAGGAAUACUAUAGGCUAGGGACAACGGUGGUGGCAGCGGCUAGGGUUGUGCCAUCUUAGGAAAUGAAAGAGAGUGGAAGAUAAGAGAGAGGGUUGGUGUUGGGAGCAAGUUGUGGAAAAAAAUAAUGACCCGCCAUUUAUUUUUUUG